GUGGUGGCUCGGUGGUAGAGCGCUCGCCUUGCACGUGAGAGACCCUGGGUUCCAUCCUCAGCACCACA
rnacentral:tRNA from 1 species